rnacentral:lncRNA from 1 species
CCCACACCACCAACCCAACCCACACUCACCUGCACACUCUUUUCCUGUGUCUUCACACCCUUUUCUCCAUUUUUUGGCCCCUUUCACUUCUCUGAUCCUCUGUUUUCCUAUCCACAGCCACAUUCUCCCUCUCCACUUAUCUCUAACUUUUAUCUCCUUUUUUUGCUUAAAUUGGAAUAGAAUUCAAUAUUCAUUCUGCAUUUAUUUAUUUAUUGGUACUAGGGAUCAAACCCAGGGACACUCUACCACUGAGCUACAUCCCCAGCUCUAUUUAUUUAUUGGUUUGUUUACUGAUUUAUUUAGAGACAGAGUCUCCCUCUAUUGCUCUGACUGGCCUGGAACUUGCAAUCCUUCUGCCUCAGCAACGUGAGUUGCUGGGAUUACAGGCAUGGCCACCACAUUAUGCUUCAUUCUGUGUUAUUAAACAGGUGUUAAAUUCUGAAGUUUUGAAAGCAAGUGAAUUGAAUAUGUAAGCCAGGCUUUUUAAAAGGCCUAAAGAAAUCAAUGGCUUGGAUCGAUGGAAGGAUUUGUUAUGAAGGAAGCAAAUCUAGCAAAAUUUUCAUUGUGGAAUCUAAGUGGUGGAUUGAUGGGUGUUUACUGAAUGAUUCUUUCAACUUUCCUGUAUGUUCUAAUUAGAUGCUAGCAUGCCCAGAACCAAUGACUUUAUAUCUGUCAUUUUCAGGUAGUUUUUAUAUUGAGUAGCUUCAAUAUAAAAAUAUUUUUCCUCCAUCAUGGCAGAGAGCAUUUAUGUUGAGGGGGUGCAGGGAGGCAGGUUCUCAGUGUUUCGUUUGGAAGGGGAAAAAAUCACCGAGAGGUUCGCCCAGGGCUGGCAAUCAAGCAAGGCUUCUUCAGACAAAGCCAGGCAGAAGCAGGCUCUGGGGUUUUCUGGGAGGAACUGCUACCCUCACCAGAAGCUUUGAUGUCAGUGAAGAGAACGUGAGAACUGAACUGAAUUAAGUUGCCCAAGCUUUUGCACACAAGAAACAGCCAUAGACAGUUACCUCAGAGAACACCAGCCAUCCCCACACACUGCUCUGGAUCAUAAAGCUGGGCCUCCAGCCACAAGAGUUGCAGAACCAGUCUUGUACCCAGGGACUGAAGACCUUUCUGGAAAAGAUGAUAGUAGCACCUUUGGCCAGAGAUGGUGGAAAAGCUCGCUGUGUAGUCACUGCUGCUGGUGUCAAUCAGUUAAGCUGCUUCUGGAUGUUUUUUUCUGAGCUGUAUCUCCACUUAUCCUACGAAUUCUUUUCUGACUACAGCCCUAACAGGAAACACCCGCAGUAACAUGUGCCUUGAUGGCUGGGGGAGGGUAUGCCAUAAACUAGCCUCUCUCUGCCAACACACAUGAAAUAAGAGAUUUCCAAGGGGUUUACAGGGCACUGCAAUAAAGACAUAUGCAUGGCUUUUUGGAGCUUCAGAAUUGAAAUAUAAAAAUGGCAAUCAGAGGGAACUGGUUAGAUCAAUUACGGCACAUUUCUACAACAGAAAACUGUGCGGGCCCCUUAAAAAAAAAAAGGAAACGGGAAAGGAAGAGGGUUGGAGGUAAAACUCAGUGGUAGAGUAUUGUCUAGUAUGCUUAAGGCCCUGGGUAUUUUUUUUUAAGGAAGAAAAACCUAGGUGCUUUAAGUAUUGAUAAGAAAUAAUCUCCAGGCUAUACUGUUAAUUAGAAAUAAAAAGAGAUCAUAACAGCAGUGGGUAAUCUGUAGUAUGUGCCUAUCUGUGUGGUUGAAUGUGUGUGUGUGUGUGUGUGUAGUUAUAGAUGCAAGACUAUCUUUGGCUGAAUGCACAAGAAACAGGUUGGUUCAGGAGAAGGGGACUGAGUCAGGGGUAAGAUCAUAUUGGUUGGAUACUUUCCACUUUCUGUGCUUUUUAAACAUCUUUUCAUGUGCAUGCUUUCUAUAUUUUAAAAAAUAAAUUAUUUGUAAAAAGUAGAAACAAAACUAGACUGAGUGCAAACGGCAUGAAACUAUAUGUGUGUUCAGGUCUACCA